GGAAGGUGCAAGCGUUACCCGGAAUCAUUGGGCGUAAAGCGUCCGCAGGCUGUUUGUUAAGUUGGAUGUUAAAUUUUGCAGCUCAACUGCAAAACUAUAUCCAAAACUAGCAAACUUGAGUAUUGCAGAGGUACGUGGAAUUCUGUGUGUAGGGGUAAAAUCCGUAGAUACACAGAGGAACACCAAAAGCGAAGGCAGCGUACUGGGCAAUUACUGACGCUCAGGGACGAAAGCGUGGGUAGCGAACGGGGAUUAGAUACCCCGGUAGUCCACGCCGUAAACGAUGGAUACUAGGUGUUGGGAGACUCGACCCCUCUCAGUGCCCGACGCUAACGCAUUAAGUAUCCCGCCUGGGGGAGUACGGUCGCAAGGUUA
rnacentral:rRNA from 1 species